rnacentral:misc_RNA from 1 species
AACAAGGCGUACCUGCGGACCUGCGGAAGGAUCAUUAUCGAGUUGCAAAACUCCAACCCUUUGUGAACAUACCUCAGUCGUUGCUUCGGCGGUGGACGGCCUGUUUUUCGGAACGGCCGGAAGCCGCCGGAGGUUCCAAACUCGUAUUUUUUAGUGUAUCUCUGAGCCUGAAAACAAAUAAUCAAAACUUUCAACAAUGGAUCU